AGAAGGUCCAUAUUUAAUAGAUUUUAAAGGAACCAUGCUUCCAGCAGUGAACUGCAGUGGCUAAGCUAUAUUUUGGUAGGUAAAAUAUCUUUUGAGAGUAGAACACAAGUUGCCUGGAUCUGACGGAAGCUGUUUAUGUUUAUAUUUGAUAUAAAAGAUGAAAUACACUACAUUACAUUGUUAUGUGACCAUCCAUCGUUUCUCUAAGAAACACUCUCUCUCUCUCGAACCACAUACAAAUGCAACAUGUGUCAAAGGAUAAACAAGUUACCAUUUUGUGUUAAAAUAUCUAUAUGGAAUUGUCAUAUGACCAUUCUCACAAGCCCUAACAAAAAGUGGGCAUGACAAGAAAAAAAGAAAAGUUUUUUUUUAAAUAUAGUAAUUUAGCAUAACAUUGGAGACUAAAUGUCCAUGUGAACAUUCUCAAGAAAUACUUUAAACAUUUGGUCUGCCCCAGACAAAAUGAUAAGCUCUUGUUAAUGCCUGUCUGAUGAUACAUCUGGAUGGGAAUUUUCAAUCUGCUUUGCUUGUAGGCAAAUUUUCCUCUAUUUGACCAGCCCAUGAAAAAUGGAAAUACAAUUACGCACAGAAUGAGGAAAACAGAAACUCAUUCUCUGCAGGUUUUCCCUUCAAAUAAAGAUAAUUUCAAUAUCUACAAAGAUUGGAGGUUUAGGAACAAAAUAGAAAAGCACAAAGACUAAAGAAUAAGCUUUUAUCUAGGGUGUUUUAUUUAGAUCUCUAAGAAUUUUUCAGUUUUAACCCUUUCUCACAAGUAACUAAUGGUAAUAUCUUUAUGAGCUAGCAUUUAAAUAUUUUGCUCACAGGUUGAUAUUAAGUAUAUUCUCCAACUGCUCAAUGCAAUGUUUUGUUUUGUCAUUGAAUCUAGUUUCUUAAUUACUGUUCAAAAUCUACCAUGUACUUAACUGAUUUUGGUUUUUUACUGCUUCUUUUACUAGGAUCUUAUAUGAUAUAUUCUCCCUUUUGAUUAUAGACUUUUCCAUUUAUCUUUGUACUAUGUCAAUUUUAGUUUAGAAUUGUUCUUUCUUCCAAGCAAAUCAAAGAUUUUUUCAUUAUGGGGU
rnacentral:lncRNA from 1 species